AGGGUCCUCUGCGGCCGAGGCGGGCGGCCGUGGCGUCUCCCGGGGCCCGGCGGAGCUGUGACGGAGACCGCUGUCGGAGCCCGGGACCCGGGGGCGGCCUCUCCGGGAGCCAAGGGAGGCGGUGCAGACACAGGGGAAGAACAUUCCAGACGCCAAGAGGAGCAGGCGGAUUGGAGCCCCCACGUGUGGCAGCAAGGUGCUCCCUCCCUCCUCCGCUCCUGCCCGGGACGCUGCAAAAGGCACAGAAACUUGGCGGACGAGGUGCUAAGGGCCACAGGUCCGCCCGCCCUGCCCAUCCAGUGACACCGGAGGAUGCCUCCACCACGGCCACUCGGGUGUUCGCCGAGCUCCUGGCCCCCGCCUCCCCCUUCACAUCUGUCUGUCCCCACGGCAUCGGCAGGCAGAGCCGGGGCUGGGCCUUGAACUCUGACACCGAGGGCACUCUGCACCUCCCGGAGUUUGGGGAGUUCUCGGGCAUUGGGGCUCCACGUCUCUGGCCCGGUGUUGCCCCUCACGCUCACUGAACUGGACCCCUCUGGGAGGGGCGUGGGCACCUGCCAUCCCCAAAGCUCCCAGGGUGAGCACCGGGCACCGAGGGGCAAGGGAGUGAACCCGAGAUCGCCCUGUGCGCCGUCCUCCAAGAAAGAAAAGCCCCCUCCCCCCACUGCAAAGUACAGGUGGGAAGCCCCCGAGGCCCCGCCCAUCCCUGCCAUCGCUGUCCCCAUUUUGUGGUACUUUCUCCUGCUGGGGAUUCCCUAAAAACCCAUCAAGGGCAAGGGAGCCUCCAACAGAGAAGUUAACAGGCCUGAUGACUCCUCACACCCGGGCACUGGGGUCCCCACACCGACGACAGGUACACUCCUCCUGGCCUCGGAGCGCCAGACAGGGGAACUCGUGUUCGGUGAGACACGCGGCAGCGGCCCCGCGGUCUCCGCGGCCCCGAGAAAGACACGGACGCAAGCCCCGGGACCGCAGCCGACGCCCCUCCUCUCCCUCUCUCCUCGCCACACACCAGAGAAGUGACUUGUGCACUCAUUCCCUCGUUCACCACUUUGCUCAGGGCACCCACAAAAAGUCAGGUGGUGAGGGGUGAUCCUGGUGGGCAGCCCGUCCCUGCCUCCGGAGGAGUGGACGUUCUUGUGGGGGGCUGGCCACACAUGAGUCGGUGAACAGGUGUAACCCCAGGUGUGCUGAGUGUCACCCGAGAAAACAGGCCCAGGGAACAGGAGGCAGGGUCCUGGGCCGGGUGGGGGCUGGGGGCCCGGGCACAGGCUGGGGAGCCCUGCUGCAGGACGAUGGGUGCCGGCAGCGCCCCGGGCCCCACCUCAAACGGCCCAUCUUAAAUUCCCAUCCUGCUUUGCAAAGUAAAUACGUUUGGAUAGAGUCCUUCUCCCAAAGCAAGAAACGUAUCAAGGUCGAAGCAGCGGGCUGCGUGGCUCCGGGCUUUUGUGGAUCAGCCACCGGUGUGCGGGUGAGCGCUCGGCCAGCAAGGGCACAGGGGUGCCACGUGGCUUGUGCUGUGAUGCCUGUAAGCGUCCUCCUGCGAGAAGAGCGGGCAAAGGCGCGAGGCAGCAGGUUCAGCUUGGAACCCGCAGACCAGGACUAAAGGCAGGACGGGCCCCUUGGCUGCAUUCUCCUUCCCAGCAUGGGGGGCACGGAAGAGAGGAAGAGGAGGAGCAAAGCCGCACUUCGGGGUUUCCCAGCCUUCAGGGGCGCCUGUGGCUCGGCGGGUUAAGUGUCCGACUCGUGAUUUCAGACCAGGUCAUGACCUCAUGGUUUGCGAACUCGAGCCUCGCGUCGGGCUCUGGGCUCUGUGCUGACAGCAGGGAGCCUGCUUGGGAUUCUCUCUCUGCCUCCCUCUCUCUCUCAAGAUAAAUAAACAUUUUAGAAUUCCCCAGCCUUUAAUGUAUUUUUUUUAAUGUUUAUUUUCGAGAGAGAGAACGAGAGAGACAGUGCAUGAGUAGGGGAGGAGCAGAGAGAGAGGAAGUCACAGAAUCCGAAGCAGGCUGUCAGCACAGAGCCUGACACCGGGUCGAACCCACGAACUGAAAGACCAUGACCUGAGCUGAAGCUGGAUGCUUAACUGACUGAGCCACCCAGGUGCCCCCAUAGAAUUUCCCAGCCUUUAAACAAACUCAAAAUUCAGUUUAACCCACAGUGGGACAUCACAAUCAGCUACCGGCCGUACGACAGGUGUUCUGGGCUGCUUGUGUGGGGACAGGAGCCUCAGAGGCUGAGUGGGUGAAAUGCUGCCUGAUUCCUCAGAUGUCCAGCUUGGCGUCUUGAACUUCCACGGGGUUCCCGUGUCCCUCAGAACACCUGGGCCUGCAAUUCUGGCAUGCUGCCGCCAGGGGGCGGUGUGGGCCUCGAGCGCCUGCCACAUUUACGGAAGGUUAACCCCAAUGCUGAGCCUCCUGGGAUGACUGCCUUGCAGAAGAAAGACACGGGUUACAAGCCAUGGAUCCAGUUAACUGCAGGGCAGAGUAACAUACCCCUCCAGGCAUCGUCCUUCCAUGCAGACGUGGAGCCAUCUAAGGAGGGAGCAAACCACGGCUACAUCCUGGCAGAGGGCAAGAACCCAGGGCUAGCAUCCACCAGGGUUCAGAGAGCUUCUGUGAAGAACAGGAAGUCAGGCUGCCUUUGCACACUUUCGUACUCUCCUCGAUCAUUCUCUUCUUCCACAUGAAUUGUCACUCAGAACACAAAACUCACACUUGCACGCGCUUUAAAGAGACGGCGUUCUGUAGGGCCGGUUACAAAACCCAGAGGACGUCACCCAGGCCCCACCUGUCACUCCCAAAGCCUUCAGCUCACUCUUUCUAAUUUAUCCCUGAGUCUCUGAACAUGCUUAUGUGGUUGCUACUUGAUGUUUCCAUUCUAUUUGAUUCAUUUAUUUAAAAAAAAAUGUUAAAUGUCUAUUUUUGAGAGAAAGAGAGCACGAGCGGGGAAGGUGCAGAGAGAGAGGGAGACACAGAAUCUGAGGCAGGCUCCAGGCUCUGAGCUGUUAGCACAGAGCCCUACACGGAGCUGGAACUCACGAAUCAUGAGAUCAUGACCUGGGCCGAAGUUGGACGUUUAGCCAAGUGAGCCGCCCAGGCGCCCCAGUGUUUACAUUGUAGAUGUGGUCUGCUGACACACUGAUGUGGAAAAUGAUGGCUUAUCCCAGGGUUUCUGAACAGUGGCACAGUUGCAAAUGUGGACCAAUUAAUUCUUUGUUGUGGGUGUACAUGAUAGGAUGUGGGGCAGUAUCCCUGGAUGCCAGCAACAUCCCCUUCCUCCUAAAUGUGGCACCUGCAGAUGUUUCUAGACAUUGCCCAAUGUCCACUGGGAGGUCAGAGUCGCCCUCAGUUGACAACCACGAAUUCAGGUCUUUUCUUUCAUCCCCCAGGACUUCAACCUCAGCUUACAGUUGUAUCAUAAUUCUGACUAGAUCAACACUCAGGGUUUACAUCACGACUGUGUAAUAUCUAUUCAUAGCUAAACCAUGUAGUAUAUUAUGAUGACUUUGUCUUCCCAUACAUUAUGUCUUCCCCAGGGUAAAAUCAUUUUCUGUUGUUUGUUUAUUGGCUUAAUUUCCCAUGUACUUAACAGUAAUUCCAACCCAAACACUUCCUAAUUAUGUAAAUCUCUUUUCAAAAUCUUCAAAUAUGUUGGGGAUUUUGUUAAGUUUAUGCUGAAGAAAUUGCUCCUGAAGACUUCAGCUCUUUUCUGCACAAUGUGGGUUUGGUGUUUUCUACGCCUGUGUCCCAUUACCUCUGUCCCCUGGAUUCCUUCCGAUUCAUUCUUGUGUUGGGUCGCCCAAAUCCCAGACCCCCUGGAUAUAUUUUUGGCUGUUGCUUGGUAUAAAGCCUCAUUUUUGGUAAAGGACAUUCUCGAGUUGCUUUCCAAUAAAAGGAGUUUGGGAGAUUUUUUUUUUCUUUUUUGAUACAUUGCUUACUUGAAAAUGACUUUAACUGCACACUUAACUGGGAGUUUGGGUACAAAAUUUGAGGUUGGAGGGUAAGGUAAAGUAAAUAUCCUAAGACCAACUCCUCUGCAGGGAAUAUGUACAAAGUCUCGGCAAAACAACUCCCCCACCCCCAAACCCAAACAAACAAAAGCAGUUCCCUGAAAGCUCUGGAGUGUGAACUAAGGUAAGAGGAUUUUGGAUGGGAGUGGAAAGUCAGAAGUGCUGUGCCAUGGACAGAGUGUGAUGUGGGUCACUCAAAGCCCUGAUGGAAAACUUCAGCCUUUCUGGCUUAAAAAGUCAGAGGACAGAACCUUGGGCGGUGGCCACAGCUGCCAAAGUGAGGGGGGCGUCCCAGAAAAGAGAGAGUCAGAGAAUGGCAGCUCCAUGUUCCGUGUGUAAACUGUUCCCAAAUAUCCGAUAGAGGGUAUGAAACUGUGCCUGCACUGGGUUGACUCAACGCAGCUUGCAGAUAAGGCUAAUAUGCCUGACCUGACAUUUGAGCUACUCCUACUGCCUCCCAGAUAUUUGUAGUUGGAGACUAGCCACGGUAAUUACCAGCGAAAAUGCAAACAUCAACGCUCAUCCAAGGAAUCUAAUGGAAUCCAGACCGUCACAGCAUAGUAUUUACAAUAUUCAGGAUACAAUGAACAUUUACUUAAUGAACCCAGACAUGACUAAGAUGUUGGAAUUCUCAGGCAAGGACUUUGAAGCAGCUAUCACAACAAUACUCAACUAGGUAAAGGAAAAUAUACUCACAACGCAUGAAAGGUACGAAAUACCAUCAAAGAAAUUUUUUAAAAAUGUAAAAAAAAUGAAAAUGUUAAAACUAAAAAAUACAAUACCAUAAGUUAAAAAAGGCACUGGGUGGGCUCAAUAGCAAAAUGGAUAUGGCAGAGCAAAGAGGGAAGUUGAAGAAACAUCUGAAGAAUUUAUCCAAUAUGAAGAUGGAGGAAGGAUUUCCAAAAGUGAACAGAAUCUUAAGGACUUGCGGGACAAUGUCAAAAGGUCUACUAUUUUGAGUCCCAGAAGGGAGAAAAUUGGAAUCCCAGAAGAGAGAGAGAAAAUGGGUCAGAAAAAAUAAUUUAAAAA